GGAGGAAAGCAGGGGAUCGCAAGACCUUGCGCUCAUUGAGCGGCCGAUGCCUGAUUAGCUAGUUGGUGAGGUAAAGGCUUACCAAGGCGACGAUCAGUAGCUGGUCUGAGAGGACGACCAGCCACAGUGGGACCGAGACACGGCCCAGACUCCUACGGGAGGCAGCAGUGGGGAAUUUUGGACAAUGGGGGAAACCCUGAUCCAGCCAUGCCGCGUGAGUGAAGAAGGCCUUCGGGUUGUAAAGCUCUUUCAGCCGGAACGAAACGGUCACGGCUAAUACCUGUGACUACUGACGGUACCGGAAGAAGAAGCACCGGCUAACUACGUGCCAGCAGCCGCGGUAAUACGUAGGGUGCGAGCGUUAAUCGGAAUUACUGGGCGUAAAGCGUGCGCAGGCGGUUUUGUAAGUCAGAUGUGAAAUCCCCGGGCUUAACCUGGGAACUGCGUUUAAAAUAGGGAGCUAGAAGGGC
rnacentral:rRNA from 1 species